rnacentral:rRNA from 1 species
UACGUAGGGGCCGAGCGUUGUCCGGAUUUAUUGGGCGUAAAGCGCGCGCAGGCGGCUUCGCGCGCCCGACGUGAAAGCCCCCGGCUUAACCGGGGAGAGUCGUUGGGGACGGCGGAGCUUGAGGGCGGGAGAGGUCGGUGGAAUUCCCGGUGUAGUGGUGAAAUGCGUAGAGAUCGGGAGGAACACCUGUGGCGAAGGCGGCCGACUGGGCCGACCCUGACGCUGAGGCGCGAAGGCGUGGGGAGCGAACGGG